rnacentral:rRNA from 1 species
GACGAACGCUGGCGGCGUGCCUAAUACAUGCAAGUAGGACGCAGUUGCGAACGGGUGAGUAACGCGUAGGUAACUACCUAUUAGAGGGGGAUAACUAUUGGAAACGAUAGCUAAUACCGCCUACUAGUAGAUGGACCUGCGUUGUAUUAGCUAGUCGGUAGGGUAAUGGCCUACCUAGGCAACGAUACAUAGCCGAUCUGGGAGGGAGGUCGGCCACACUGGGACUGGGGAAAGGCCCAGACUCCUACGGGAGGCAGCAAUAGGGAAUCAUCGGCAAUGGGGGGAACCCUGACCGCGCAACGCCGCGUGAGUGAAGAAGGUUUUCGGAUCGUAAAGCUCUGUUGUUAAGGGAGCGGUACUUAACCAAAAAGCGACGGCUAACUACGUGCCAGCAGCCGCGGUAAUAC